AUGGCGCGCGCCUUUGCACGCUCCAUCUCCUUCCCUCUCAGCCCCUCGAGGUCUCCCAAGGCGCGCGCUCCGUCCUCGUCGUACCACGGGCGGUCCGUGAGCUUGCCGUGCCGCUCGCACACGAUCUUGGCGCACCUCCACACCCACAUCCGCUCCGUGCGCGCCUGGGCGCAGAAGGGCACGGCGGCGUUGGCCGCCUCCGUGGCCACGGGGCUGGCGCACGUAGACGCGCUCCAUGCCGCGCUCGGCGACCUGCUCGACCUGCCCGAGGCCCAGGCCGCGCUCUCCGGCGCCGGCGGCAGCGUCGACCGCCUCCUGGACUCCUUCCUCCGCCUCGCCGACGCGCACGGCUGCUUCCAGGAGGCCGUGGUGCCGCUCAAGCAGGACGUCGCCGAGGCUCUGGCGGCCGUGCGCCGUCGCGACGGGGCACGCCUGGCUUCGGCAGUGCGGUCGCAGCGCAGGGCCGGGAAGGAGCUCGCGCGCCUGGCCGCCACGGCCAGCGAGUGCGCCGUCGGGCCCUCGCGCCUGAGCAUCCUCGGCGGCGGUCAUGGCAGCUCGGCGGAGGUGGAGGUGACGGGGCUGCUGAUGGAGUCGGCCGCGGCCACGGCGUCGGCUUCGGCCGCGCUGUUCGGGGCCGUGGCGGCCAUGUUGGGGUCCGUGGCGGCGGAGUCGUGCUCGUGCAAAGGGACGGCGGCGCUGGCGUGCCUGGCGCCGGCGCCGGGGUCGGGGUCGGAGGAGAUAGCCGUGGCGGAAAGGCUGGAGGAGCUGGAGGAGUUCAUCGAGGAGAUGGAGGCCGGGAGCGAGAAGGUGUUCCGGAGCCUCGUGCAGACCAGGGUCGCGCUCCUCAACAUCCACACGCUCCACAUCUUCUAG
rnacentral:rRNA from 1 species